ensembl:lncRNA
GAUAGAUUCUGGUCUAUGAGGUUUAAAUCUGUAAUUUGAAAAUAAUAUCUCCAGCAAGAAAUCAAUAAAUAACACAAGCUAAAGGGAUGCUCUGGGUUCCACAGGAAACCAAGGCCUCUGCAAAGAGGGGAGAGGCAACCCUGCUCUUAAGAGUGAAGGUUCAGAGCUGUAUGACACGAAUACCACCUGUCAGUAACUGUGAUGGAAAAUAUUAGCUUACAUUCUUCAGUUCCCUGGUGACUGACCAUAUUAGGCCUGAGCAACAUAUCUUACCACACUUGCUAAUCUGUGGAUUUCUAAAAGUGGAUAAUUAGUCCAGACAGCUAGAGCUCAAAAUGAAACGAGCUUAAGGUUUUCAGGAAUUACAGCAGGUGCCUGACGGGUCUGCCUUUCAGGCCUGACCUAUUUCUGCCCGUGCCUGGGGGAGGGCUCAUCUCCUCAGACUGAUGGAUCUUACUGGCACGUUCACCACCCAUUUAUGCCCAAACUUAGGACUGCUAACCUGGUAACCUUCCACUCUGAGAUAAGGCAGGAAAGUGGUGGCUGAAGCCUGAGUUCUUCUUCCAAUCACUGCAUCCUAAGCAUAUGGAUAGAUUCAGGCUUAUGAGAACGUGAUGAGGGUAAGAACAGAGACUCAGCAAGGCUGCUAGAACUGCCCAGAGUCACUCAGCCAGUCAGCAGCAGAGCUGAGCUAGAGUGCCCAGAGCCUGACACCGUCCAGGGUUUUAACCAUUAGCCCACACUAUCUCCAUGCGGGUGAUUGCUCUCUGCAGCUCUCCUCUUGGGGUAAGGAGAAUGAAGGAACCCAGUUAUUUUCUCCAGUAGAGUUCAUGGCUUCUCCCUUCCCAUCCCUCCCCACCUUCUGUCUGGUUUGAGUUUACUGUCAAAACACGCCCAGUCAAAUUACUUGUCUGCAGACAUUUUUGCUGGCCUUAGUGUAUCCACAAGAGAGCUGUUAAUGAUUACCCUUCCUGCCCGUACUUAGCUCAUCCUCAGAAGGGAACUGCUCAUUAUCAUUCUCUGACUGCAGGCUGGGCCGUCUGGAAACAGUCAGUCAGGAUUCUGGCGGUGGUAGAGCUGGAGCCCCGGCAUUUUCUGCCGUUGGAUCAUGUCGCUACCAAAAGUGACUCUCGGCUCUUGGGAGGCUGUGGGCCUGUGGUCCCUCAGGCCAGGCUUCUUGGAGCUUGUGAGAGGCUCAUCCAGCAACUCCAGCAGCACCCAGUCUCCUGCAGGAGGAAGCAGCUUCUCCAGGGCCUGGCUCUUGCAACCUGUUGUGACCAGCAGGGCCCAGCUUCCCCCAGAACUCCCUUGAAGAGCCUAGGAGUGAAAUGCCCCCCUCAAGGAGUCUCCUGUGACAAUUUCCCAGGGCAAUCCCCAAGAAAGUUUUGAGGUAAGUUCUGAGAGAUGAAACCUCUCUUGGACGGGUUUCCUUGACAAUAUGGAGGGCAAAUUUCCAGAAAGUUCUACAGCAUCACAACUCAAGGACUUCUCCACCAUUCAGUGAGCUGUGAGUGAAGUGAGGUGUUCUUUUUCCAGGUUCUUUACUUCUUGGGGUGCUCCACCUCAGCCCCAGGGGUAGUGGCUGUUCCUUAUAUCCACUAGUCCUAUAUUCUUCAGAGUUCUCUUUACAUCUUACUAUCUAAUCCCUUGUUACUGCAAAUCCCUUCCCAUAGUAUAUAAGAGGAGAUUAGAAUAUAAUAUUACAUAAUUAUAGAACAACUCUAUAAUUACAUAAUCAUUCCUUAUAUUAAACUUUUCCUGCUCAAAUUACUAUGUGAUACUGCCUUCUCGUUUAAUUCUGGCAGAUACAGGUACCUUAUUAACCCAGCUGCCGUGGUGGGCAAUUACAGCUUAACUCCAUGGGGAAAUUCUGAAAAAUAGUAUAAAAUAUUCCACUUAAGGGGUAAGAAAGCCAUGAUAUUUUUACUUCAACUCCCGUCAAUCACUGGUUGGGAGUAGCUUCUGGGAAGUGUGAUUCACAGAACUUCCAGCUUGUUUCCCACGUAGCAGAGCACCUUCCACAAUUCCAGAAAAAGACCUCAGGCGCUGAGUCAGCGAUUCAGGUCAGUAGAAGUCCUGCAGAACACACUGAAGCAGUAGGGGCCAGGGAUUACGCCUGGGCCAGUGACAGAGUCUAUUAUAGCCCAAUCACUGUAGCCA